UUGAUGAUGAUUGUGAUAACAUAAGGGAAAAAAAUGAUAUCACCUUAUUAUAAGUGUUGUCCAAAACUGGUGCCAGAAGACUCGGUAAGACCAGAGACGCGAACGUUAGUCAUCUUAAUCAGGCGUAAAGGGUGUGUAGGCUGCUUUUAAAAGUUGUUAAAUCUUUAUAAUAGCUCUCUUGCAUUUCGGAGGUGUCGAGUUAGUGACAGACAAAACAAAGAAGGGUGUAAGAGAAAAGAGUUAACAAAAGAAAUGAAAGCUAGAAUCAAAUGUAGGAUAAGCCGAAUAAUACUUAGAGUAGGGGUUAUAUCCGCAGAUACUAAGGGGAAUACUAACGGUGAAAACUUUUAUCUAGUAUUGAUUGACGCUGAGAAACGAAGGUGAUAAUAGGAAAUAGGAUUAGAUACCCAGAUACCUUUCACUGUCAACGAUGAAUGGUGAUUUGUUAGUUUUGGUAAAAACUAGUAAUGAUGUUAACACGUUAACCAUUCCGCCUUGCGAGUACGGUUGCAAAACUGAAACCAAAAAAAUUAGUCGGUCUCGAAGCAAACGAAGUGAAGCAUGUUAUUU
rnacentral:rRNA from 1 species